UCAGGCACAACGUCGGCCGGUGCCAGGCCCUUCGGUUCGCAGGAAACCCCCCAAUCCGUGGUGGGAUAGCGAGUGUACAGAAAUCUAUCGCGAGAAAUCCGCUGAGUUCAAAGAGUUUCGGAAACGCGGUUCGGUCGAAAACUUUAAGCGGUACACUGCCCUUGAAGGCAAGUUUAAGAACUUGGUCAAGGCAAAGAAAAGCGGUUACUGGCGUCGGUUCGUCGAGGGUUUAUCGCGCGAGACAUCAAUGAGAACUCUUUGGAACGUCGGGAGAAGAAUGCGUAACGCGUCGUCGGUAAACGAGGAUCGAGAAAGCUCUCCUCGGUGGAUUCUCAAGUUCGAAAAAAAAAGUUUGUCCAGAUUCCGUACCCGUGGAGCGAAUAAUUCGUGAUGUUUCCGAAGAUAGGGACGACAUGGAUAGGCCGUUUGCAAUGGUUGAAUUCUCACUUGCUCUUCUUUCAUGUAUCAGGUAUCAGUAGGUCGGCUCAAGAGGCACGUUCUCCUCCAUUUGGGAAAUUUGUGCCAUCGCCAUGAAUACGAGCCUAUUCAUCAUUUACCUGAGGGAGAGCGAAGGGAGGAAUAAGGGAUGGGAUAGGGAAAGGGAAGGUAAGGGAAUAGGGUCGACAUAAUCGCAUAAGCGUACCACAACGGGUUCAAA